rnacentral:rRNA from 1 species
UGCCUCUUGUCUCCAAUAUAGGAGGUACAUCCUGCCCGGUGCCCUGCGGGGUUAACGGCCGCGGUAUCCUGACCGUGCUAAGGUAGCGUGAUAAUUCGCCCUUUAAUUGUGGGCUUGUAUGAAUGGACAAACGAAAGCCUAGCUGUCUCCCAGAUAAAAAUAAAAAUUGGCAUUCAGGUGAAGAGACCUGAAUCAGAUCAAAGGACAAGAAGACCCCGUAGAGCUUUGUCCUCGCCCACCACAGAGAACGAUACCCCUAUACCUUCCCUGUGCUUGCCAAAAGGACUCAGCUGGGGCGGCUGAGGAACAUUAAAUCUUCCAUCUUAAUCCGAACUUUAAAUAGCGCACUUCGGCUAAUUCGCCAUAUAACCUAAAUUGACCCCUAUUAGGAUCAAAAAAAAUAGCUACCUCGGGGAUAACAGAUUAAUCCUCCUUGAGAGUUCGCAUUGACAGGAGGGCUUGACACCUCGAUGUUGGCUUAGGAUAUCCCGGGAGUUGCAGGAGCCCCCAACGGUAGGUUUGUUCAACCUUUAAAAUCCCUACGUG